rnacentral:rRNA from 1 species
CCUACGGGAGGCAGCAGUGGGGAAUAUUGCACAAUGGGGGAAACCCUGAUGCAGCGACGCCGCGUGAGUGAAGAAGUAAUUCGUUACGUAAAGCUCUAUCAGCAGGGAAGAAACACUGACCUUACGGUCAGCAGACGGUACCUGAGUAAGAAGCACCGGCUAACUACGUGCCAGCAGCCGCGGUAAUACGUAGGGGGCAAGCGUUAUCCGGAUUUACUGGGUGGAAAGGGAGCGUAGGCGGUGCGCCAAGUCUGGAGUGAAAUGCCGCGGCUUAACUGCGGAACUGCUUGGGAAACUGGCGAGCUAGAGUGCGGGAGGGGUAAGCGGAAUUCCUAGUGUAGCGGUGAAAUGCGUAGAUAUUAGGAGGAACACCAGUGGCGAAGGCGGCUUACUGGACCGUAACUGACGUUGAGGCUCGAAAGCGUGGGGAGCAAACAGGAUUAGAUACCCGAGUAGUC